rnacentral:rRNA from 1 species
UUAGUCCAAUUUUUAAAUAUUAUUAUGACACCAAACAAGCUAAUAACUUUAAAUUUCAAUCAAAUAAGGUACAGCCUAUUUGACACAGGAUACAGCCUAUACCAUAGGGUAAUGUUGAUUUAUAUGACCAAGUGGGCCUAAAAGCAGCCACCUUUAAAAAGCCGUUACAGCCAAAUNACACCCCCUAACCAAUUCCAACUUAAACCCAAAACCCCUCCCCCAUACUGAGUGACUCCAUACCAAUAUGGAAGACCUUAUGUUAGAACUAGUAACAAGAGCCAAAAAUCUCCCAUAAACGUAAGUGUAAGCCGGAUCGAACCCAUCACCGGCAUUUACCGCCAACGAACUAUUAGUAGCAACUUACACAAGAAAACCCUACUUCUCACAACGUUAACCUUACACCAGAACUUUUCAGGAAAGAUUAAAAAAGGGGGAAGGAACUCGGCAAACCUUAACCCCGCCUGUUUACCAA